rnacentral:sRNA from 1 species
ACGCGGGAAAGGAGGUGGUCCGGAACAUGCAUGAUUCUGGGACUCGCGAGGUGACUGUCCGCUAGUCGCCGUCCCGCCUUGGAACUCCCCGCACGCGCGGGGAACUCUCCAGCCGUGAUGGCGGCUGGCGAAUACCAGGCAAUCACCCGAUCCCCGGGCUGAUGGAUCAAGUCCCGUCCAUCGCCGCCGUGCGCGGAAGGCCCGGGGAUCGUUCUUU